rnacentral:rRNA from 1 species
CAAUUCUGUGUGCACGAGGAAGGUUUUCGAUUGUAAAGUGCUUUCAGCAGGGAAGAAGGAAGUGACGGUACCUGCAGAAGAAGCGACGGCUAAAUACGUGCCAGCAGCCGCGGUAAUACGUAUGUCGCAAGCGUUAUCCGGAAUUAUUGGGCAUAAAGGGCAUCUAGGCGGCCAGGCAAGUCUGGGGUGAAAACUUGCGGCUCAACCGCAAGCCUGCCCUGGAAACUGCCUGGCUAGAGUGCUGGAGAGGUGGACGGAACUGCACGAGUAGAGGUGAAAUUCGUAGAUAUGUGCAGGAAUGCCGAUGAUGAAGAUAGUUCACUGGACGGCAACUGACGCUGAAGUGCGAAAGCUGGGGGAGCGAACAGGAUUAGAUACCCUGGUAGUCCCAGCCGUAAACGAUGAUUACUGGGUGUGGGCAUGAGGAGUGUCCGUGCCGAAGCCAAUGCGAUAAGUAAUCCGCCUGGGGAGUACGGCCGCAAGGCUGAAACUCAAAGGAGUUGACGG